AUGGGCUCCGGCUAGAAAAAAUCAAAAUUCAAAAACCUCAUAUCUGCUUCUCAACUUUUGAAUUCCCCAAAUGUAUCUGAAAACGUUUGUUGCCUCUCUCUGUCUCACAUUUUGAAAACCCUAGACUACUGCAUCAGUACAAGAUCGACGACCUAUGGGUGGUUUUUACUCAUCUUCUUCUUCUACUCUCUCUUUCUUUCCUACAAAUUCAUACUCUCAAAGAAACACUAUGUAGAUUUAGGAUUAGAUCUGUCAGACUCGUGGAGCUUUGGGGGACGAAAGAUAGUGACGGUGGUGAUGAUUUGGUUACAGCCUUCUAUACGGUGGUGGUCCUUAAGAGCCACGUAAACACCGUCAACGGUUCCAAGGUUAAAACAAUGAGGAAGACCAUGACAGAAAACCCUAGCCAUCGCCUCCCGCGAUGGCGGCUAGGUUCCGACGAAGCUUCAUGGUUCUGCCACCCGAGCGCCAGUAGAGGAGACUAAGGUUCCGGCGAAUGUAAAGCCAUCGGUGACUGAACCACCAGUGCUGGCGGUUGCAUUAGUGGAGCAGGACAAUGUGAAUACUUCAAGGGUUGUGCAGGACGAACAAGACAUGGGUUGAUUAGUGAUGAUGAUAUGUACGGCCAGGUGAAGAGUCCUCUAUCUACUCGAAAAUUAUAUAGGUUUUUUGAUAUUUAAUAAAUAUUGAAUAAAGUAGUUAUUUUUUAAUUGUCAGGUACUCAAAGUUUAGCCCUUUUUGAGUAUGAGUUGGGUUUGCAAUUGAGCAUGGGCUGAUUAGUAAUUUUUUUUCCAUCAGAAUUGUUUGAUUAAAUAUUUGUUAUAAAUCUUAAUUAUAGGGUAAUACAUCCCUAAAGUCAGUGUAUUAUGAUAAACAUUCUAUUUUGCAAGAACUUUAUAGCUGCGUAAUGUGGUGAUUGAAGAAAGUUACUGAUCACCAAAAGUAACAAAAGAUAGUUUAACUGUUGUAAAACGCAUCAAAUUUUAUUGAAUACAGUCAAGAAUGUUGGUUCAAGUCUGGUGAAACAAGAUGCUAAUGCUAAAAACAAUGUUGCUGGUGUUGGCACUACUUGGGCAACAUUCCUUACACGAGAAAUAUUCUUAGAAGUGUGCAAAUCGGCUGCAACUGGUAUGAAUGCAAUGGGUCAGAAUGGUUUUGGGUGUAUGAUAAUAGAUUUGGGUAUAUGUAUAUCUAACAAAAUAAACGGGGUAGCGGGUCAGAAUGGUUUUGUGUCACGAGUCAUUUAAAACGGUCAUUUGGGUUUGGGUCAGAAUGGUUUUGUAUAACUGGGUAUAGAUCAAAACAGGUUGUUUUAAAAAAAAGGAGAAUAUUGUAAGCAAACAUUACCAAAACCCAAAAGAUGACCAUGAAAACAAAUAUUUAACUUGCAAAAUAUGCAAAGAUACAAUUUAAUGAUAUUAAUACAACUUUUUGGCGUAUUUUGUGUUCUUGUUGCAUAUAACAAAAAGGUAUACAUGAAGAUAACCAAUACAUGUAUUUUUUCGGUUUUCCGUCCAUGUAACUGAAUAUAUGUAUUUGUCGUAUUUACGUUUUUAAGUUGAACCACUACGGUGGGCAGGUCCUACUAAGAAUAUGGAUUUGGAGCCUGGUACGCUUCGGUACAGGUACGCUACUGUAAAUUGAGCCGGUUCAGGGAAUUCGAUGCCGAAUUAUGGUGUUACCCAAAACCUGAACCCCGACUCGAUUAAAAUCAAUCCAAACCCGAUUAUGGUGUUACCCGAUAAACCCCGAACCUGAACAGGUGGGGUUGUCUUCAAGAUUGUAUCUGAAAUUUAGAAUUCAAUAUGAGGGUAUGUUGUGCAAGUAGGGUGUUUGAUGUGCAUUUUGAAAGUGAUUAGUGAUUACUUAAUAACUGGCAUCAAUACAACGAUUUGAACCUAAAUUGCAGUAAAAUUAACUCAGUUUUGAUUUUGAGUGGUCUUGCAACAGUGGGCAUAAUCAGAUCAGAGCACUUCUGACUCGAUGUGGCACAUAUCUAGCAAGCGCCGCAAAAUGCGUUGGUGAUUGUGGAGAUGAUGUUUUUUUUUUCUUUUGCAUUCUUUUAGUUAUAUGCAUACUAAGCUGCACCACACAAGGAUCUUGGUGUGAAGGAAAAGAAGAAAGAGUGAUUGAAAAUAUUCAUAUCAAGACCAUUAUCUUAUUUAUGUAGAAGAUUAAAAACAUAUCUAUAAAUUUUGAGUGAGGAGUACUUUAUGAGUUUAUUGCAUUAUCA